AGAGUUUGAUCCUGGCUCAGGACGAACGCUGGCGGUGUGCUUCACACAUGCAAGUCGAACGGAGUAGCAAUACUCAGUGGCGGACGGGUGAGUAACACGUGGGAAUCUACCAUUAGGUGGGGAAUAACAGGCCGAAAGGACUGCUAAUGCCGCAUAUGUAGGCAUCUCGACAGAGAUGUUUAUGAAAGGAGUAAUCCGCCUUUUGAUGAGCCCGCGUCCGAUUAGCUAGUUGGUAGGGUAAAAGCCUACCAAGGCGACGAUCGGUAGGUGGUCUGAGAGGAUGAUCACCCACAAUGGGACUGAGACACGGCCCAUACUCCUACGGGAGGCAGCAGUGGGGAAUUUUACGCAAUGGGGGAAACCCUGACGUAGCGACACCGCGUGAGCGAAGAAGCCCUUUGGGGUGUAAAGCUCUGUCAACAGGAACGAAACAAAUGACGGUACCUGUGGAGGAAGCAUCGGCUAACUACGUGCCAGCAGCCGCGGUAAGACGUAGGAUGCAAGCGUUGUCCGGAUUUAUUGGGCGUAAAGAGUUCGUAGGCGGUUUGUUAAGUCUGAUGUUAAAGACCGGGGCUCAACCUCGGAAAUGCAUUGGAUACUGGCAGACUGGAGUGCAGUAGAGGCUAGUGGAAUUCCCAGUGUAGCGGUGAAAUGCGUA
rnacentral:rRNA from 1 species